rnacentral:rRNA from 1 species
CCUACGGGGUGCUGCAGUGGGGAAUAUUGGACAAUGGGCGAAAGCCUGAUCCAGCCAUGCCGCGUGUGUGAAGAAGGCCUUCGGGUUGUAAAGCACUUUCAGUGGGGAAGAAAGCCUUGGGGCUAAUACCCUCGAGGAAGGACAUCACCCACAGAAGAAGCACCGGCUAACUCCGUGCCAGCAGCCGCGGUAAUACGGAGGGUGCGAGCGUUAAUCGGAAUUACUGGGCGUAAAGCGCGCGUAGGCGGUCUGAUAAGCCGGUUGUGAAAGCCCCGGGCUCAACCUGGGAACGGCAUCCGGAACUGUCAGGCUAGAGUGCAGGAGAGGAAGGUAGAAUUCCCGGUGUAGCGGUGAAAGGCGUAGAGAUCGGGAGGAAUACCAGUGGCGAAGGCGGCCUUCUGGACUGACACUGACGCUGAGGUGCGAAAGCGUGGGUAGCAAACAGGAUUAGAUACCCUAGUAGUC